GAUGAACGCUAGCGGCAGGCUUAACACAUGCAAGUCGAGGGGUAACAGGGAUUGCUUGCAAUCCGCUGACGACCGGCGCACGGGUGCGUAACGCGUAUACAAUUUGCCUUUUACUGGAGGAUAGCCUUUAGAAAUGAAGAUUAAUACUCCAUAGUAUAUAGUAGUGGCAUCGCUAUUAUAUUAAAGUUCCGGCGGUAAAAGAUGAGUAUGCGUCCUAUUAGCUAGAUGGUAAGGUAACGGCUUACCAUGGCAACGAUAGGUAGGGGUCCUGAGAGGGAGAUCCCCCACACUGGUACUGAGACACGGACCAGACUCCUACGGGAGGCAGCAGUGAGGAAUAUUGGACAAUGGAGGCAACUCUGAUCCAGCCAUGCCGCGUGCAGGAAGACUGCCCUAUGGGUUGUAAACUGCUUUUAUAUAGGAAGAACUACUCCCACGUGUGGGGGUUUGACGGUACUAUAUGAAUAAGCACCGGCUAACUCCG
rnacentral:rRNA from 1 species